AUUGAACGCUGGCGGCAUGCCUUACACAUGCAAGUCGAACGGUAACAGGUCUUCGGAUGCUGACGAGCGGCGAACGGGUGAGUAAUGCAUCGGAACGUGCCCAGUUGUGGGGGAUAACUGCUCGAAAGAGCAGCUAAUACCGCAUACGACCUGAGGGUGAAAGCGGGGGAUCGCAAGACCUCGCGCAAUUGGAGCGGCCGAUGUCAGAUUAGGUAGUUGGUGGGGUAAAGGCCUACCAAGCCGACGAUCUGUAGUUGGUCUGAGAGGACGACCAGCCACACUGGGACUGAGACACGGCCCAGACUCCUACGGGAGGCAGCAAUGGGGAAUUUUGGACAAUGGGCGCAAGCCUGAUCCAGCAAUGCCGCGUGCAGGAAGAAGGCCUUCGGGUUGUAAACUGCUUUUGUCAGGGAAGAAAUCCUCUGGGUUAAUACCCCGGGGGGAUGACGGUACCUGAAGAAUAAGCACCGGCUAACUACGUGCCAGCAGCCGCGGUAACAC
rnacentral:rRNA from 1 species